GAUGAACGCUGGCGGCGUGCCUAAUACAUGCAAGUCGAGCGAACAGACGAGGAGCUUGCUCCUCUGACGUUAGCGGCGGACGGGUGAGUAACACGUGGAUAACCUACCUAUAAGACUGGGAUAACUUCGGGAAACCGGGGCUAAUACCGGAUAAUAUAUUGAACCGUAUGGUUCAAUAGUGAAAGACGGUUUAGCUGUCACUUAUAGAUGGAUCCGCGCCGCAUUAGCUAGUUGGUAAGGUAACGGCUUACCAAGGCAACGAUGCGUAGCCGACCUGAGAGGGUGAUCGGCCACACUGGAACUGAGACACGGUCCAGACUCCUACGGGAGGCAGCAGUAGGGAAUCUUCCGCAAUGGGCGAAAGCCUGACGGAGCAACGCCGCGUGAGUGAUGAAGGUCUUCGGAUCGUAAAACUCUGUUAUUAGGGAAGAACAAAUGUGUAAGUAACUAUGCACGUCUUGACGGUACCUAAUCAGAAAGCCACGGCUAACUACGUG
rnacentral:rRNA from 1 species